UACGGGGGGGGUAAGCGUUGUUCGGAAUUACUGGGCGUAAAGGGCUCGUAGGCGGCCAACUAAGUCAGACGUGAAAUCCCUCAGCUUAACUGGGGAACUGCGUCUGAUACUGGAUGGCUUGAAUCCGGGAGAGGGAUGCGGAAUUCCAGGUGUAGCGGUGAAAUGCGUAGAUAUCUGGAGGAACACCGGUGGCGAAGGCGACAUCCUGGACCGGUAUUGACGCUGAGUGAGCGAAAGCCAGGGGAGCAAACGGG
rnacentral:rRNA from 1 species